UCAUCAGAAAACAAUCCAAGGCAAAUAAAUGCAGCUAACACUUCAAGGUUUGAUUCCACCCUGUUCAGAACGUCUGCAGGUGCCCAAGGAAGUAAUAAAAGGUUUUAUCUCUGGGAUUGUGCUUAGAAUAUGCUACAGAAAUGUCAGAAUGCCAAGUCCUGCAA